UAAUUGGAUAUUUGCCAAUGGCGAAUAAGUGUAUAAGGAGAAUUAUGUACUUCCCCUUUAUAUUGAAUUGUAAUAUAACAUUACCACCGUGUAACUUAUUUCAUACAUAGUCAUAUAUAUUGGAGUAAGUUUGUGAAGGAUUACUAAAAUGCCGAAAAAACAAAGCUGCAUGGCGGGUUGUGCCGGAAAUACAGCCAGGUUCCUCCUGAUUUUAUUCAACGUUAUAUUCUUAAUAUCUGGAAUAGCUAUUUUAGGAGUGGGAAUAUGGUUAAGAGUAGAUCCCCGAGUUCUACAGA